UGGCGCUUGGACAUUUAUCAACGGAGGAUUUAAUCACGGAGUUACUUCGUUUUGAGGUCACUGAAGAGGAGCAAGUAAAUUCAAAAGGAUUGUUUAAGAAGCAAGCCAAAUUCAACCGAUUUGUUCAGCAGUGGAAAGAAACCGUGACAGUAACCAUCGAGCCUGUCCCGGUACAUUCAGAGAAGGCUACGGCGGAAUCAAGCUAUUUCAGGAAAUGGGCCGGCUUCAUGAUGAAAUGAAUAUCUGCCGAAGAUUCGAAGAUGGCUUUAAGGUCCUAGUACCCACAGUGCUUAGAUUGACUCAAAGGAAAUCUCCCCUUGCAGAUCUGGCUUUGGAGGAAAGAGAGGCUGCCCUCACCGAAGAUGUCCCUGGGAUUGAUUUCAGAGCUGCAAUCCUGCUGUUGCCGAUCCUGUUCAGGGAGAAAAAUGACAUUCUCGUCAUACUUGGGGAGGUGUGCAAUUUGCGUAUUUUUUGAAUCAGCCACCG